AUUAGGGUGGCAGAGCCAGGUUAAUGCAAAAGGCCUAAGACCUUUAUUCCAGACGUUCAAAUCCUCUCCCUAAUUC
rnacentral:tRNA from 1 species